GGGAAGGCCACUUCAUGGCAGGGCUUGUGCAGGGAGAUCUGCAGAUGCUGUGCUGCUGUCACAUGUCUGACACCACRUGUGACUCUAAUGAGUUUAUCCUGGCUUCAGAGAAUCCCAGAAUGAUGACACAUGUGGGAGUUAGUUAUAUUUCUGACUCUGGAACAGUUUUAAAACAUUGGAUAUGAAAGUCUCAGGGACUUUCCAAGGGAUGCCUAGUUGGUGACAGGAGGAAAAAAUAGUACAGUUCACUCACAGCUGAGCCUUUACCAUUCCUAUGCUGUCCCAGGAGCCUCAGAAAAUGAAUACAUCUCAAGGUUCUGCUUUACCAAACCAGAACUGAUCUUCACAUUGGAACAAGGAGAAGACCCGUGGUCAUUAGAGAAAGAGAAAGGGUUCCUAAACUGGAGCUCCCCGGGUG